GUGAUAAUUAUGGGUGAUGAAGACAAAUAUUUAUUGAAAUUUAAAGGGUAUAAUUUUGAACGUUCUUUGGUUGAUAUUGACUUUCUAGAAAAUCUAGAUAACUUUGAAAUUAGAGAUGAUGAUGUCUUCAUCAUUACAUACCCCAAAUCUGGUACCAUCUGGACUCAGCAGAUAGUAAGCUUGAUUUACUAUGAGGGACAUCGUAACAGAACUGAACUUGUGGAAACAGUUGACAGAAGCCCCUUCCUGGAAUACAAUCUGCGCAAAAUAGACUAUGAGAAGAGACCAUCCCCUCGCCUCUUUGCUUCCCACAUCCCAUACUAUUUAGCACCAAAAGGUCUCAAGAACAAAAAAGCUAAAGUAAUUUACGUCUACAGAAACCCCAAGGAUGUUUUGACCUCAUAUUUUCAUUUUUCUAAUUUGUUAAUUACAUUAGAAGCUUCAAAUAACAUAGGAGAUUUCAUGGAAAGAUUUCUAGAUGGAAAAGUGAUAGGAAGCCUUUGGUUUGAUCACAUCAGAGGCUGGUAUGAGCAUAGACAUGACUUCAAUAUCCUGUUCAUGAUGUAUGAGGAGAUGAAGAAGGAUCUCAGAAGUUCUGUGCUUAAAAUCAGCAGUUUUCUUGAGAAAGAACUGAGUGAAGAGGAUCUGGAUGCUAUUGUGAAUCAGGCUGCAUUUCAGAAUAUGAAAGUUGAUCCUCAAGCUAAUUAUGAUGGCAUUCUGAAAAAUGAAAUUGGGAUGAGAACAAACAACGGACAAUUCCUGCGCAAAGGUACCGUUGGAGACUGGAAACAUCACUUGACCGUGGAGCAAAAUGAGCGAUUUGACAGAGUAUUCCAAAGGAAGAUGAAAGAUUUUCCCUUGAAGUUCAUCUGGGAAAUAGAUGAGGAGUAGAAUCAGUGGAAAAUAUAAUAAUACUGUAAAAAUCUAACAACUGGAAAGCAUAUUUUAAUAUAUACAUUAAUUUGUGCUUCUCAUACAAAUGUUAAUUAUAAAACUUUAUUAAUUGACAAAAUCAGUAAACUGUGCUUAGAUUCAAUUCCAUGCCUUUAAUGAAACUUUGACAUUUCACCAAUUAUAAUGAUUUGGAUAAUCUGCAGUGUUAGCCUAUAUGAUAAAGUGAA
rnacentral:lncRNA from 1 species